ensembl:lncRNA
GUUUCCUCCUUUCCUGCAGAGCGGUCAGCAUGUGGCUGGGUACACAGGCCCAUCGGUGAAUCUUGGUUGGUGGGCUGUUUGGGGUCCCAAGGGCAGGAAGGAUGAGGACUGAAUGCUGGAAAGCGGCUCCAGGAAUAGGGGGAAGGGCUUCUGAUUGCCCUGCCUUGGGGUCUGUGUGACUUCUGCCUGCCUUGUGAGGUCACAGUAUUGCCCAGGUGACCCAGCUGGGUGGGAAAACCCACUGCUUUUCCAGGUCUGAGCAGAGAGAGGGCCACUCCUGUCUUUACCUUCUGUGGGUGCCAAGAACCAGUUGCCCAGCUGCUGAUCCUGCCCAGCUGGCCAUGACCCAGAGUCCCCAUGGCACCUCUGCUUAUAGAAUGUCUCCCUGUUGAGAAAGCACCAGACCGUGGCCCUCUCCCUUCCCCUGCCCAGGUCCCAGAGCCCGUGUCUGGCACCCCUGAGACCACCUUGACGUUCCAUAAUGUUAGCCAACCGCAAGACUCCAAGGUGCCCAGGCCAGCUGUCUGGGCAGGACUGAUCACCCAACGAUACCAGGUCACUGAGGGCCCAGAAGACCCCAUGAAUACCUCCCAGAAGGUGGACUCUGUCAUCAGCCACCUGGCUCCCCCUCAUAGGGAGGCCAUAGCAGUCACUCUCCAUGGGGCCACCAACCUUCCCGCCUGCAAGGAUGGCUCUGCACCAUGGCCCUACGUGAGCGCUCAUCUCAGAGUUUCUUGGAGUGUGCCAUUUCUGAUUUCCAGAGCAGUCCCCACUGCCCACAGGAGAGUGC